rnacentral:piRNA from 1 species
UGGCAUGAACGGCUCUGGGGUUC